rnacentral:rRNA from 1 species
GGUUAAGCGACUAAGCGUACACGGUGGAUGCCCUGGCAGUCAGAGGCGAUGAAGGACGUGCUAAUCUGCGAUAAGCGUCGGUAAGGUGAUAUGAACCGUUAUAACCGGCGAUUUCCGAAUGGGGAAACCCAGUGUGAUUCGUCACACUAUCAUUAACUGAAUCCAUAGGUUAAUGAGGCGAACCGGGGGAACUGAAACAUCUAAGUACCCCGAGGAAAAGAAAUCAACCGAGAUUCCCCCAGUAGCGGCGAGCGAACGGGGAGCAGCCCAGAGCCUGAAUCAGUGUGUGUGUUAGUGGAAGCGUCUGGAAAGGCGCGCGAUACAGGGUGACAGCCCCGUACACAAAAAUGCACAUACUGUGAGCUCGAUGAGUAGGGCGGGACACGUGGUAUCCUGUCUGAAUAUGGGGGGACCAUCCUCCAAGGCUAAAUACUCCUGACUGACCGAUAGUGAACCAGUACCGUGAGGGAAAGGCGAAAAGAACCCCGGCGAGGGGAGUGAAAAAGAACCUGAAACCGUGUACGUACAAGCAGUGGGAGCACAGAGCAAUCUGUGUGACUGCGUACCUUUUGUAUAAUGGGUCAGCGACUUAUAUUCUGUAGCAAGGUUAACCGAAUAGGGGAGCCGAAGGGAAACCGAGUCUUAACUGGGCGUUAAGUUGCAGGGUAUAGACCCGAAACCCGGUGAUCUAGCCAUGGGCAGGUUGAAGGUUGGGUAACACUAACUGGAGGACCGAACCGACUAAUGUUGAAAAAUUAGCGGAUGACUUGUGGCUGGGGGUGAAAGGCCAAUCAAACCGGGAGAUAGCUGGUUCUCCCCGAAAGCUAUUUAGGUAGCGCCUCGUGAAUUCAUCUCCGGGGGUAGAGCACUGUUUCGGCAAGGGGGUCAUCCCGACUUACCAACCCGAUGCAAACUGCGAAUACCGGAGAAUGUUAUCACGGGAGACACACGGCGGGUGCUAACGUCCGUCGUGAAGAGGGAAACAACCCAGACCGCCAGCUAAGGUCCCAAAGUCAUGGUUAAGUGGGAAACGAUGUGGGAAGGCCCAGACAGCCAGGAUGUUGGCUUAGAAGCAGCCAUCAUUUAAAGAAAGCGUAAUAGCUCACUGGUCGAGUCGGCCUGCGCGGAAGAUGUAACGGGGCUAAACCAUGCACCGAAGCUGCGGCAGCGACGCUGAUGCGUUGUUGGGUAGGGGAGCGUUCUGUAAGCCUGUGAAGGUGUGCUGUGAGGCAUGCUGGAGGUAUCAGAAGUGCGAAUGCUGACAUAAGUAACGAUAAAGCGGGUGAAAAGCCCGCUCGCCGGAAGACCAAGGGUUCCUGUCCAACGUUAAUCGGGGCAGGGUGAGUCGACCCCUAAGGCGAGGCCGAAAGGCGUAGUCGAUGGGAAACAGGUUAAUAUUCCUGUACUUGGUGUUACUGCGAAGGGGGGACGGAGAAGGCUAUGUUGGCCGGGCGACGGUUGUCCCGGUUUAAGCGUGUAGGCUGGUUUUCCAGGCAAAUCCGGAAAAUCAAGGCUGAGGCGUGAUGACGAGGCACUACGGUGCUGAAGCAACAAAUGCCCUGCUUCCAGGAAAAGCCUCUAAGCAUCAGGUAACAUCAAAUCGUACCCCAAACCGACACAGGUGGUCAGGUAGAGAAUACCAAGGCGCUUGAGAGAACUCGGGUGAAGGAACUAGGCAAAAUGGUGCCGUAACUUCGGGAGAAGGCACGCUGAUAUGUAGGUGAAGUCCCUUGCGGAUGGAGCUGAAAUCAGUCGAAGAUACCAGCUGGCUGCAACUGUUUAUUAAAAACACAGCACUGUGCAAACACGAAAGUGGACGUAUACGGUGUGACGCCUGCCCGGUGCCGGAAGGUUAAUUGAUGGGGUCAGCGCAAGCGAAGCUCUUGAUCGAAGCCCCGGUAAACGGCGGCCGUAACUAUAACGGUCCUAAGGUAGCGAAAUUCCUUGUCGGGUAAGUUCCGACCUGCACGAAUGGCGUAAUGAUGGCCAGGCUGUCUCCACCCGAGACUCAGUGAAAUUGAACUCGCUGUGAAGAUGCAGUGUACCCGCGGCAAGACGGAAAGACCCCGUGAACCUUUACUAUAGCUUGACACUGAACAUUGAGCCUUGAUGUGUAGGAUAGGUGGGAGGCUUUGAAGUGUGGACGCCAGUCUGCAUGGAGCCGACCUUGAAAUACCACCCUUUAAUGUUUGAUGUUCUAACGUUGACCCGUAAUCCGGGUUGCGGACAGUGUCUGGUGGGUAGUUUGACUGGGGCGGUCUCCUCCUAAAGAGUAACGGAGGAGCACGAAGGUUGGCUAAUCCUGGUCGGACAUCAGGAGGUUAGUGCAAUGGCAUAAGCCAGCUUGACUGCGAGCGUGACGGCGCGAGCAGGUGCGAAAGCAGGUCAUAGUGAUCCGGUGGUUCUGAAUGGAAGGGCCAUCGCUCAACGGAUAAAAGGUACUCCGGGGAUAACAGGCUGAUACCGCCCAAGAGUUCAUAUCGACGGCGGUGUUUGGCACCUCGAUGUCGGCUCAUCACAUCCUGGGGCUGAAGUAGGUCCCAAGGGUAUGGCUGUUCGCCAUUUAAAGUGGUACGCGAGCUGGGUUUAGAACGUCGUGAGACAGUUCGGUCCCUAUCUGCCGUGGGCGCUGGAGAAUUGAGGGGGGCUGCUCCUAGUACGAGAGGACCGGAGUGGACGCAUCACUGGUGUUCGGGUUGUCAUGCCAAUGGCACUGCCCGGUAGCUAAAUGCGGAAGAGAUAAGUGCUGAAAGCAUCUAAGCACGAAACUUGCCCCGAGAUGAGUUCUCCCUGACUCCUUGAGAGUCCUGAAGGAACGUUGAAGACGACGACGUUGAUAGGCCGGGUGUGUAAGCGCAGCGAUGCGUUGAGCUAACCGGUACUAAUGAACCGUGAGGCUUAACCUU